rnacentral:rRNA from 1 species
UACGGGGGGGGCAAGCGCUGUUCGGAAUUACUGGGCGUAAAGGGCUCGUAGGUGGCCAACUAAGUCAGACGUGAAAUCCCUCGGCUUAACCGGGGAACUGCGUCUGAUACUGGAUGGCUUGAGUUCGGGAGAGGGAUGCGGAAUUCCAGGUGUAGCGGUGAAAUGCGUAGAUAUCAGGAGGAACACCGAUGGCGAAGGCAGGUCUCUGGGCCGAUACUGACGCUGAGGAGCGAAAGCGUGGGGAGCGAACAGG